rnacentral:rRNA from 1 species
GAUCCUGGCUCAGGAUGAACGCUGGCGGCGUGCUUAACACAUGCAAGUCGAACGGAGUUAGAUGAAACCUAGUGAUUCUAAACUUAGUGGCGGACGGGUGAGUAACGCGUGGGUAACCUGCCAUAUACAGGGGGAUAACACUUAGAAAUAGGUGCUAAUACCGCAUAAGCGCACAGGACCGCAUGGUCUGGUGUGAAAAACUCCGGUGGUAUAUGAUGGACCCGCGUCUGAUUAGCUAGUUGGUGAGGUAACGGCCCACCAAGGCGACGAUCAGUAGCCGGCCUGAGAGGGUGAACGGCCACAUUGGGACUGAGACACGGCCCAAACUCCUACGGGAGGCAGCAGUGGGGAAUAUUGCACAAUGGGGGAAACCCUGAUGCAGCGACGCCGCGUGAGUGAAGAAGUAUUUCGGUAUGUAAAGCUCUAUCAGCAGGAAAGAAAAUGACGGUACCUGACUAAGAAGCCCCGGCUAACUACGUGCCAGCCGCCGC